GACGGGGGAUGCAAGUGUUAUCCGGAAUCACUGGGCGUAAAGCGUCUGCAGGUGGUUUCCUAAGUCCACUGUUAAACCUUGAGGCUCAACCUCAAAUCUGCAUUGGAAACUAGGAGACUUGAGUAUAGUAGGGGUAGAGGGAAUUUCCAGUGGAGCGGUGAAAUGCGUAGAUAUUGGAAAGACCACCAAUGGCGAAGGCACUCUACUGGGCCAUUACUGACACUGAGAGACGAAAGCUAGGGGAGCGAAUGGG
rnacentral:rRNA from 1 species